rnacentral:rRNA from 1 species
UAAGGAAUCAAAAUAAGGGCGUAUGGAGGAUGCCUUGACAUCAAAUGGCGAAGAAGGACGUGGCGUAGCUGCGAUAAGCCUCGGGGAGGUGCCUAGCAACCUGUGAGCCGAGGAUUUCCGAACGGGGUAACCUAAUGCAAAAAACUUGCAUUGCUCUGAUUCAAAUCAGAGAGCGCACCCGCUGAAGUAAAACAUUUCAGUAAGCGGAGGAAAAUAAAACGAAGUCAUUCCCCAAGUAGCGGCGAGUGAAAAGGGAAUAGCCCAAACCUGAUAAAAUUUUCGCAAGAAAAUUUCUACCAGGGGUUGUAAGAUGAAGACGCUGUUUUGCUUAUCCCACACGUAAUUUUUAAGUUAUGUGCGGGAUUUGCGAAAAAAGGAAGAGUUACAAAAUCUUUGGUUAGCUGAAUUGGCUGGAAAGCCAAACCUAAGAGGGUGAAAGUCCUGUAAGCGAAAAUCAAAGAUCUCUUUAGUUUUUAUCCCGACGAAAGUCGGGGCUCUAAUCUCGCAAGAGAUUGGGGUUCUUGAGUACCUCGAGGACAGAAUGCUUCGAGGGAAGCUGCCGGUACUAUUCGGCAAGGCUAAAUACGUUUGAUGAUCGAUAGUGAACUAGUACCGUGAGGGAAAGGUGAAAAGCAGGCCGGCAAGGCCGAUGAAAUAGAAUCUGAAACCAUAUGCCUACAAGGAACGAGAGCUCUAGCGUGCAUAACACACAAUUAAUAAACUAAAAUACUAAAAAACUAAAAGCUUUCAGUACUUAAGUUUUUAAGUCGUUUGUUGAUUGCGCGUUGUGCGCGCAGUGUGAUCGUGUGCCUAUUGAAGAAUGAGCCAACGAGUUUAGGUAAAUCGUUUGUCUAAGUUCUACGGAGCGGAGGCAAAGGGAAACCGAGUGUUAAAAGCGCGAUUAUAACGGUUUACUUAAGACCCGAAGCCAAGUGAGCUUGUCCUGGCCAGGAUGAAAUUCGCCGAAAGGCGGAUGGAGGUCCGAACCGGUUGGUUGUGCAAAACCUUCGGAUGAGCUGGGAUAAGAAGUGAAAAGCUAAUCGAACUUGGUAAUAGCUGGUUCUCUCCGAAAUAGCUUUAGGGCUAGCGACUGUCAUAAAUUUCUCGGGGGUAGAGCUACUGGUUCGGGAGUAAAGGGCGAAAGCUCGGCUCUCGAGUCAAACUCCGAAUACCGGGAAAUCCGGGCAGUUAGUCAGAACGUGGGGGCUAAGCUCCAUGCUCAAAAGGGAAACAGCCCAGAUCGCCAUCUAAGGCCCCUAAAUGUUUGCUAAGUGUAAAAGGUAGUAGUUAACCAUAGACAGGUAGGAGGUUGGCUUAGAGGUAGCCAUCCUUUAAAGAGUGUGUAACAACUCACUACUCGACGGUUGAUUGCGCCGAAAAUUUACCGGGGCUAAGCAAACUGCCGAAGAUGCGAAUUUCACAUAUAAUUUAUUAUUUGUGGAGUGGUAGGAGAGCAUUUCAAACGCGCUGAAGGCGGACCCGCGAGGGCUGCUGAAGCGUUUGGAAGAGAGAAUGUUGGCAUGAGUAACCGUAUAUUCUGGUAAGAAGCCAGAACCCCGAAAAUCCAAGGUUUCCUCCGUAACGGAAUUCGUCGGAGGGUUAGGCGAUCCUAAGGCAAUGGCGAAAGCCGCAGCUGAUGGGAAGCCGGUUAAUAUUCCGGCCCUUCCGUUGUUUUCGAUGGGGUGACGAAGGAUAUAAGGUUGAGCGUCUUAAUGGUUUGACGUUUUUACUGUAAGAGGCGGCAAUGAGGAAAAUCCCGUUGUCUGUUUUCAAUAACAUGUCUCGGCAGCGAGAAAAGAUCUGAUUCGUCGGGUCAAUUCAACUGAAUAGCCUUCCAAGAAAAACCUCUAAGGUUAAAACAAUGGAAAUCGUACCGUAAACCGACACUGGUGGGUGAGGCGAGAAGCCUCAGGGGAACGAGUGAUUCCUCCUUAAGGAACUCGGCAAAAAAGCGGCCGUAAGUUCGCAAUAAGGCCUCCCAGCACCAUUUUUGUGCGAUAGAAAUUUCUAUUUCUCAAAAAUGGUGCUGGGCGCAGCGAAAGUAUCUCUAGCGACUGUUUAUCAAAAACACAGCUCCCUGCAAACUCGUAAGAGGACGUAUAGGGGGUGAUGCCUGACCGAUGCGAGAAGGUCAAGCUUGGGGGUAUUAUGCAGCAAUGUGUAAUGCUCACUGAGUUAAGCCCUCGUCAAUGUCGGCCGUAACUAUAACGGUCCAAAGGUAGCGCAAUUCCUUUCCGGGUAAGUUCCGGAGCGCAUGAAUGGCGUAACGACUGGAGAACUGUCUCAAGGAGGAGCUCGGUGAAAAUGCGAUUCCCGUGAAGACGCGGGAUACCUGCAGCGGGACGAAAAGACCCCGGGAGCUUUACUGCAGCUUGAUAUUGUUUUUAGAAUAUUGUUUUUAGAGUUUUGAUGCGUAGCGUAGUGGGGAGACUUUGAAAUCUGGUUUUCGGAUCAGAUGGAGUCGCCAAUGAAACACCCAUCUUUAAAAUUCUAAAGACUAACCUUUUCGGAAAAAACGAAAUGGAACAGUGUCUGGUGGGCAGUUUUAAUGGGGCGUUAUCCUCCUAAAAAGUAACGGAGGAGUUUAUUAAGGUCGGCUAAGGUCGGAUGGAAAUCGACCGCGUCGUGUAAAGGCACAAGCCGGCUUGACUGCAAGGCCGACAAGCCGCGCAGCUGCGAAAGCAGAACUUAGUGACCCGACGGUCCUUUAUAGAAAGGCCGGAGACAACGGAUAAAAGCUACCCCGGGGAUAACAGGCUGGUGAGGCUCGAGAGUUCCUAUCGACGGCCUCGCUCGGCACCUCGAUGUCGGCUCACCACAGCGCGGGGCUGGAGAAGGUCCCAAGCGUUUGGCUGUUCGCCAAUUAAAGUGGUACGUGAGCUGGGUUCAGACCGUCAAAGAAAAGAACCCUUUACGACAAUCGAACACGGCGGCUUUAUACCGUAAGGUAUAUCGAAUAAAUCGACUCAUAUCGGUGAAAUCCUAAUAUUGAUUUUCAACCUGUCAAAUGUUAGGAUAAUACCGAGGGAAGUUAUAUAUGCUUAAUCAAGCUCAAAAAUCAUAUAUUGCAGGAUUUUUAGAUGGAGAUGGGAGUAUUUAUGUGCGAUUAAAACCAAAUCAAAGUUAUCGAUAUGGUUUUCAAAUAUCGCCGUAUAUCGUUUUAUUUCAAUCUCAAAAAGAUCAAAUUAACUUUCAAAAAAUCUGUAAUUUAAUUAAUUUAGGAUAUUUAAGAGUACGUAAAGACGGCAUUCUUGAGUAUAUAAUUGGAAAAACAGAUGCAAUUAGAAAAUUUUUACAAAUAGUAAAACCAUUUGUAAUUCUAAAAAAAGAACAAGUUAAUUUGAUGAUAAAAAUUCUAGAUAUUAAAGAGAAUAUAAAAAACAAGAAUGAUUUUAUUAAGCUUGCAAAAUUAAUAGAUGAUUUUAGAGAAUUAAAUUAUUCUAAAAAGCGAAAAAAGCGUAUAUUAACCCCGUAGAGACUUCUCUGACAUACGUCGGAGAGAUAAAAUCUUCAAAGAUUUUAUAAAAUGUCGAUCUUCUUAAUAAAAAAAGAAGGUGGUAUAGUCCAAUCAAUUAGUAAUAGUUGAAAUUUUGCGUGAGACAGGUUGGUCUCUAUCUGUUGCAGGCGUUGAAGUUUGAAGGAAGUUGACCCUAGUACGAGAGGACCGGGUUGAACGAACCUCUGGUCUACCGGCUUUGCCACCAGGUGAAGCGCCGGGUAGCUAUGUUCGGCAGGGAUAAGCGCUGAAAGCAUCUAAGCGCGAAGCCCUUCCUAAGAUUAGACUUCAAGACUCGUGGAAGACUACCACGUUGAUAGGCUCCAGGUGUAAGGCUAGUAAUAGUUUUAGCCGAGGAGUACUAAUAAGUCAGACUUUCUUAUA